rnacentral:rRNA from 1 species
GAUAUUGGUCAAUAGCCUAACGGCUGAACCAGCAACUUGGAGGAAUGUAUAGCAACAGCUAUUUGCGUAGUAAUACUAUGCAAAAUCAACUAUGUUGAAUAAAAUUCUGAUUAGGUUAUGAUUAUGACAUUUCCUAAUCAUGUGUCUUGACCAAAUUACGUGCCAGCAGUCGCGGUAAUACGUAAAAGACUAGUGUUAUUCAUCUUUAAUAGGUUUAAAGGGUACCUAGACGGUAAAUCAAGCCAUAAAAGGGACUAAUUUGCUAGAGUUACUUAUAAGGGGGCUAUCAAGUACUAAUGGUGUAAAGAUAAAAUUUUGUAAUACCAUUUUCGGAAACGAAAGUAAUGGCACUGGUAAAGGCGAAGGCAUCCCCCUAUGUGAUAACUGACGUUGAAGGACGAAGGCUUUGGGUCGCGAGAAGGAUUAGAUACCCUAAUAGUCGAAGCAGAAAAUAAUGAGUGUCAUAGAUUAGACAAUACAGUUUAUUCUAUAAAUGAAAGUGUAAACACUCCACCUCAAGAGUAAUAUGGCAACAUAGGAACUGAAAUCAUUAGACCGUUUCUGAAACCAGUAGUGAAGUAUGUUGUUUAAUUUGAUAAUCCGCAAAAAACCUUACCACAACUUGAAUAUAUAUGUCGUUGACAUAUUUACAAGCAUUGCACGGCUGUCUUCAGUUAAUGUCGUGAGACUUUGGUUAGAUCCAUUAAAUUAACGCAAGCCCUUACUUUAUUUUUAGAUAAAGUAGUUCUCCACUAUAUUGGAUAUGAUA